rnacentral:rRNA from 1 species
GACGAACGCUGGCGGCGUGCCUAAUACAUGCAAGUUGAGCGCUGAAGGUUGGUACUUGUACCAACUGGAUGAGCAGCGCACGGGUGAGUAACGCGUGGGGAAUCUGCCUUUGAGCGGGGGACAACAUUUGGAAACGAAUGCUAAUACCGCAUAAAAACUUUAAACACAAGUUUUAAGUUUGAAAGAUGCAAUUGCAUCACUCAAAGAUGAUCCCGCGUUGUAUUAGCUAGUUGGUGAGGUAAAGGCUCACCAAGGCGAUGAUACAUAGCCGACCUGAGAGGGUGAUCGGCCACAUUGGGACUGAGACACGGCCCAAACUGAUACGGGAGGCAGCAGGAGGGAAUCGGGGGCAAGGGACGAAAGACUGACCGAGCAACGCCGCGUGAGUGAAGAAGGAUUUCGGAUGGUAAAACUCUGUUGGUAGAGAAGAACGUGGGUGAGAGUGGAAAGCUCAUCAAGUGACGGUAACUACCCAGAAAGGGACGGCUAACUACGUG